UACGAAGGGGGCUAGCGUUGUUCGGAAUUACUGGGCGUAAAGCGCGCGUAGGCGGCUUUGUAAGUUAGAGGUGAAAGCCCGGAGCUCAACUUCGGAAUUGCCUUUAAGACUGCAUCGCUAGAAUCAUGGAGAGGUGAGUGGAAUUCCGAGUGUAGAGGUGAAAUUCGUAGAUAUUCGGAAGAACACCAGUGGCGAAGGCGACUCACUGGACAUGUAUUGACGCUGAGGUGCGAAAGCGUGGGGAGCAAACAGG
rnacentral:rRNA from 1 species